rnacentral:rRNA from 1 species
GACGAACGCUGGCGGCGUGCUUAACACAUGCAAGUCGAACGGAGCGCCUGUGAAAGAGACUUCGGUCAAUGGAUUGGGAUGCUUAGUGGCGGACGGGUGAGUAACGCGUGAGGAACCUGCCUUUCAGUGGGGGACAACAGUUGGAAACGACUGCUAAUACCGCAUAACAUAUCUGCAUCGCAUGGUGUGGAUAUCAAAGAUUUAUCGCUGAGAGAUGGCCUCGCGUCUGAUUAGCUAGUUGGUGGGGUAACGGCCUACCAAGGCGACGAUCAGUAGCCGGACUGAGAGGUUGGCCGGCCACAUUGGGACUGAGAUACGGCCCAGACUCCUACGGGAGGCAGCAGUGGGGAAUAUUGGGCAAUGGGCGCAAGCCUGACCCAGCAACGCCGCGUGAAGGAAGAAGGCUUUCGGGUUGUAAACUUCUUUUAAGAGGGAAGAGCAGAAGACGGU